GGGUUCCGCCGCGGGGCUGCGAGCGCGCGCGGGCCAGUUCGGGCCGGGGGCGGGAACCGGCUCGGAUGCUCAGGGACGGUGGGGGUGGCAGGGCCCACCGGCUUGAGGCUGCCUUUCCCGGCGUUCCCUCGUUUAUUGGCUCACUCUUCCUUUCAUCCAUCCAUCCUUUGCGCAACAAUAUUUGAUGGGAAGCCUGCCAAGGUAACACUGUUUUAGCACCUGGAACUAAGUCGGAAAAUAAAUUAACUAAAUGAACAAGGCCAUUGGAGAUGGUGCUCCGUGCCACGAAGAAAAUGAAACGAGGUGAUGGAAGGCAGUGCGGGAAGGGGGAGAACUGUGUGAAAUUAGGCGGCCUGCGCUAGGCCUUCUGAGUAAGGGGCCAUUGGUCUGAGACCUGGAUGUCAAGAAGGAGCAGCUGAAGCAAAGAUCCAGGGGAGAGAGCCUGGAGAGGGAAGGGCCCGUGCAAAAGCUGAAAAGCCUGGGGCACUCUGGCGAGUUGCAGGCCAGUGUGGGUGAGACAGAGAGAGCUAAGGAGACAGGCCAAGCGAGGAAGCUGGAGAGGUGGAGACAGGCCACGGCGGCCAGGAGUUUGGACAUGACAUUAAACAGGGCGAGAAGACAUUGCGGGGGUGCAAUCAGGGGCUGGUGGGACUGGUUUCCAUUUCACACAGCUCUCUGGCCACAGGUGCUUGAUUGGAUUCUAGAGAACAAGAGAGCAACGGAGAAGCUAGGCCAAUGCCAACCUCCAGACAGUUUACAUUCUGUACUCGCCCACCAGAUUGGUGUGGGGACAAAGCCAGGUCCUUCUUCUUUCCAGCAUUCAGUCUGCCAACUUUUUUUUUUUUUUAGACAGGGUCUCACUCUGUGGCUCAGGCGCUAGUGCAGUGGUGCAAUCUCAGCUCACUGCAGCCUCUGCUUCCCGGGUUCAAGCAAUUCUUGUGCCUCAGCCUCCCGAGUAACUGGGAUUACAGGUGUGUGCCACCAGGCCCAGCUAAAUUUUUUUGUAUUUUUAGUAAAGACGGGGGUUUUGUCACGUUGGCCAGGCUGGUCUCGAACUCCUGACCUCAAGCGAUCUGCCCGCCUUGGCCUCCCAAAGUGCUACGAUUAUAGGCAUGAGCCAUCGCACCCGGCCAGUCAACCAACAUUUGAGUGUGCACUAGGCCCUGCAUCAGGCACUGGGGGUAUGCUCAGGUACAAGGCCCUUCAUGGUUCCUGCCCCAUGGAGCUUGCUAUCUAGUCUGCACAUUUCCUACGUGUAGACAUGCAUCCUACCUAUGUCUCCCUAGGUGAAUGCUUCAAAAAAAAAAGGCCGGGGCGGGGACCUUCAAUGAGGCUAUGGUGCAGUAAACAUAUUCCUUAUGCCAGGGUGCACCAAUCCAUUGGGCCACACUGUUUAGUAGCAAGAAAUUUCUAGCCCUCUCUCCUGAGUCUCCAUCUGUAAACUAGGGGACUGAGAACAUUACUAUUAAAAAAAAACCCUUCUAGCUCUAAAAUGUUGUCAUAGGGUAUGGAAGACCAUUAUUUUCAGUUCCUCUUUUCCAACUAUCUAAAGCGUUUGUGUUUGGAAAUAAGCUUCUGAACUGCUCACCUGCAGGCUAGAAAAAUCUGAGACUUGAUUUUGAUGUUCCAAGGGUCAGACUCAGCGUAUGCUUUAGGGCUUCAGCAUGAAAGUGGUUCCCCAAAUAAGAAAAGGUCAGCUUUGAUGAAGGAUGAAGAAGGAUGGAAAUAUAGGAGAUUAAGGGAAUCUGAAUACACACCUGCAGGCAGAUGUGUAGGUUGGAGUUUUGGAGACCUAUACCAAUUCUACUCUCUUCCAAAUACCAUUUUACUAGGAUGCAUUCAGAUUCCAGAAUAAUCAGGCACAAGCUCUAGCCAGCCCUGAAUGGGUUCCUGCAGCCCAACAGAAACCUGACACUCUGACUUAGGCAGCCCCAAGAACUUCUGUUAGGCUGGGCGCAGUGGCUCAAGCCUGUAAUCCCAGCACUUUGGGAGGCCAAGAUGGGUGGAUUGCCUAAGGUCAGGAGUUUGAGACCAGCCUGGCCAAUAUGGUGAAACUGUCUCUACUAAAAGUACAAAAAUUAGCCAAGCGUGGUGGCAGGUGUCUGUAAUCCCAGCUACAUGGGAGGCUGAGACAAGAGAAUUGCUUGAACCUGGGAGGCGGAGGUUACAGUGAGCCGAUAUCGCGCCAUUGCGCUCUAGCCUGGGCAAGAAGAGCAAAACUACCUCUCAAAAAACAAAACAAAACAAAACAAAACUCUUAGUCAAGGAUUAACACAAGUUCCCUCUCAUAGUCAAAGAGAGUCCUGGAGAGCUUCCUUUGCUGAUCCGUGUUAAGGAUCUACGAUGCCAGAGAAGACUCAGGUCUGACACUCUGGCCCUUAGAGGCCUGGAACAGUGCCUCGGGCACAGUCCCUGAGGCUCAAUGGCACAUUCAUGCCACAGAGAGGACCAAAGACAGAUCCAAAUGCACACAGCCAGAGAGAAGGGCUUGGCUUAUGUACUUCCUUUUCCAUGUUCUUUGUUCACUAUCACUAACAGCUGAGCGAGGUUCCCAAGGAGCUAUUUGGAAUUUGCCUGGGUCUUCAGCUCUUGCCUGGGAUCGUCAGAGAAGAACAUUUUGCACUGUCAAGGAUAGGGACUUGUGUCUCUUUUCACAACUAACACAUUGCCACAUAUAAUACUAUACUUUAUGCAUAUUGAAAUAAGUGACACAUUGAAAGUAUGGGCCCCAGUUGCUUACAAAAUGAAUUUAUGUUCCCUUGAGGACGAAUGUACUGACUGACAUCUAGUAGCUCCCAGGAAUGGAAGAGUCUUACAACUCAAGAUCUCUAGCAUUUUCCAAAUAUGGUGGCUGACCAUCCCAGUAGCUUCUCAUUAGUCCAGAACCAAUCCUGAGGUAACAUUCUCUUGGCUCAGAAUCUGUUUGGUUUUGUUUGUCUGUUUUUUGAGACAGAGUUUCGCUCUUGUCACCCAGGCCUGAAUGCAAUGGCGUGAUCUCAGCUCACUGCAACCUCCACCUCCUGGGUUCAACCAAUUCUCCUGCCUCAGCCUCCCAAGUAGCUGGGAUUACAGGAGCCUACCACCACGCCUGGCUAAUUUUUGUAUUUUUAGUAGAGAUGGGGUUUCACCAUGUUGGCCAGGCUGGUGUUGAAUUCCUGACCUCAGGUGAUCCGCCUGUCUCAGCCUCCCAAAGUGCUGGGAUUACAGGCAUGAGCCACCGUGCCUGGUCUGGGCUCAGAAUCCGUUAUUAAGGAUGUUACAGGGAAAUGACCUUGGCCUAGAAAUAGGGUGAGAAGAAACUAAGACAGGAGUGCCAUGGUCAUUCAACAAGAAAGAGUAUUUCACUCUCCAGUCAGAUUGCCCCCUACUGUGGAAGAGUGUUCAAGAACAUAAGACGAGAGAAAGAAUCAAGGUUUAAGGUAGUCUCACAUUUCAAUUUUUUGCUCAUUGACAAGAUAUAUAGAGAUAUAUAAUUUUUUAUAUGUGUAUAAAAAAUUCUCAUACUUGCAACCUCCCUCUCAGUUGUGUACAUCAACUACAUACAGCUAGAACAGCAAUGAUGGCAUGCUGAAUUGCUGUCAAUUGAUUACCUAGAAAGUGGGCACUGUGUGACUCUCACCUCUCAGUUAUCCCCUCCCUGCCUUUACCACCUCCCUGAAGCCCCUGAAGUUGGUCAGCUUCACUCAACCUGGUGGUAUAAUAAAAUCCAUUGCAGGGGUAGGAUUUGGAGUGGUUGGUGAACCCACCACUCUAGAGUCUGAAGCUUACAGGUGUAAAACAAAAAGGAAGGAAGGAAGACUGGUGGAAUAAAUAAACCAAAGGAAUUAAAUUUUGUUCAGACAUCCACUCUUCACCUUCCCAGCCCCUGUUUGCCUGUAACUACAAAGCAGAGGCAGGGAGAAAGACACAUGGGCAGGAGAAUACCACAUGGAGACACAGACACACGAGGGGAGGAUGCCUGCUGACCAUGGAGGCAGAAGUGGGACUGACGCAUCGAUCAGCUGAGGGAUGCCAAGCACUGCCAGCAAACACCAGAGGCUUGAUGGGGGCGAGUAUUCUCCUGUGCAGGUAUCAGAGGGAGCCUGGCCUUGCAGAUACCUUGAUUCCUGACUUCUGGCCUCUAAAAUGUCCAAUGUGAGUCAGGCAUCUCUCCUGGUGGCUGUCUUCCAUGUGGUGACUUAUGUAUCCAGGAUCCUUCUACUGUGUUUCUCCUCCAUUGCGAAGUCCUUCACUUCCAGCACCUGAGACAUUUUUUGGGUAUAUCUACAAGUGGCAUAUAUCACUUCUGCCCACAUUCACCUGGGUAGAACUCAAUCACAUUGUUUCACCUAACUGCAAGUGAGGCUGUGGAAUAUAGUCUCCCUAUGUGCCCAAGCAGAAGAAACAGGAUUGGUGAGCAUCUAGCCCAUCUCUACCACUAACAGUUUAUCCC
rnacentral:lncRNA from 1 species